UCACUUUCUACCUCUUUUAGUUUGGUGGUGUAUAAUUCAGGAACUGAUUUCUGCUCAGCUAAACUUCUUAAAAAUUUUGCUUUGUUUGUCCUGAACUUUUAAGGACAUAAAAGAGCCAAGCAGGAGACCGGCGAGUGCCAACUUCAAGAUGCCUUCUAUCGCAAGACUGCUUGGGAAGCAAAUUAUACUCGGAGUUAUACCUCUCAUCCUAAGUAGUCUUUGGUCUUUUAUUUUCAGGACUGGAACUAAACAUGGUGAAACAGGUCUUGCCUCUGACUCAAAUAGAGCCCAGAAGACACAUGGACGCCAUGCAAAGAAAAAUUAAGAAAAAUCCACUCUGUAAUUAAGCAAAUCUAAGGAUUCUAGAAGCACCUCUCGCUGAAACCCAAAGAAGUCCUCCUCCUUCUGGGCUUUCACAACCCAGUAUCUUCCUUCCCUUACAAAUGAGGAAAUCACUUACCAGUUGCUUGCACCUUGAAUCUUGUGAUUUGAUUCAAUUUGCUAAAUCAUAGUUGAUUAAAUAAACAGAAAUUUAAUAGGGAUUUUAACCAACAGGUCUUCCCAAGGCAUUUAUAAAUUUGUGGCGUGGAUGUUUAUGAGCCAGCCUUAGUGUACACAUAUGUGUAUAUAUGUGAGGGUUUGUGGGGUGGAAGAACAAGCAUCUAGAAAUGUGACCUGUAAUCACGUAUUUACUUAGUAUCUGUGUUCACUGUUUAUUUUAUAUGUUAAAUGCUCUUUUCAUGGCAGGAGUUGGGUAAAUAUUGUAAAUGACACUGUCUUUUAUCUCAAGGGCUUUGCAAAGAAGACACUACAUGCUUUAGUCAGCUGUUCAUUGUUGUAACAAAAUACAAGAUACUAAAGGACCAAAAAUUCAAAUUAAUAGAAGUUUAUAAAGGAAAAUUUAACUCCUUAAAUCAGGAGUGCUAUGACUGAUGAUGCCUGAUCUCCUGCUCUCAGAGAAGCAGAGGUGACUGCCCACAAUUCCAGUUAACAUUCCUUUGCUAUUGCUGGUUGUAAAGGUGCC